AACGAACGCUGGCGGCAUGCCUAACACAUGCAAGUCGAACGAGACCUUCGGGUCUAGUGGCGCACGGGUGCGUAACGCGUGGGAACCUGCCCUUAGGUUCGGAAUAACUCCCCGAAAGGGGUGCUAAUACCGGAUAAUGUCUUCGGACCAAAGAUUUAUCGCCUUUGGGUGGGCCCGCGUUGGAUUAGCUAGUUGGUAGGGUAAAAGCCUACCAAGGCGACGAUCCAUAGCUGGUAUGAGAGGAUGAUCAGCCACACUGGGACUGAGACACGGCGCAGACAGCGACGGGAGGGAGCAGAGGGGAAUAAUGGACAAUGGGCGAAAGCAUGAACCAGAAAUGCCGGGUGAGUGAUGAAGGCCUUAGGGAUGUAAAGGUCUUUUAACGGGGAUGAUAAUGACAGAACCGGGAGAAUAAGAACCGGCUAACACCGG
rnacentral:rRNA from 1 species